CUGGCGGCAUGUUGCCGACGGCAACAGGAAGAGCAGUACGGCCGCACAGCCGAGCGGCGGACGGGUGAGUAAUGUCUGGGAAACUUCACCUGAUGGAGGACGUUAACUACUGGAAACGGUGACAACCGCACAUAACGUCGCCGAAGAUCAAAGAGGGGACCUUCGGGCCUCCACGCAUCGGAUGUGUGCCUGCGGUCGGAUUAGCUGGUGGGUGACCAGUUAACGGCUCCGCCUAGGCGGCACAAUCGCUGACCGAAGGAUGACUGGUACCCUGGAGCUGGACACGGUUGAACUCCAGGGCUGGCGCAGUGGGAAUAUUCUGUCGGGCUGAAGCUGAUGCAGCCUCACCGCGAUAACCCAUGAAGGAGGCCUUCGGGUUAAAGUACUUUCGGCAGGAGAAAGGGUAAGUUCUUCGCCCGCAGAAGUGACAUUUACUGAAAACACCGACUAACUCGUCUUAGCCAUGCAAUGACCACGGAGGGUGGGUGUUAAUCGGAAUUACUAAGGCUGGCCACCACGCAGGCGGUUUUGUAAGUCAGAUGAAAUCCCGGCUCAACCUGGAACUGCAUCUGAUACUGGCAAAGCUGAGUCUCGUAGAGGGGGUAGAAUUCAGGUGUAGCGGUGAAAUGCGUAGAGAUCUGGAGGAAUACCGGUGGCGAAGGCGGCCCCUGGACGAAGACUGACGCUCAGGUGCGAAAGCGUGGGAGCAAACAGGAUUAGAUACCCUGGUAGUCCACGCCGUAAACGAUGUCGACUUGGAGGUUGAGCCGCAGGAGGUGCUCCGGAGCUAACGCGUUGGUCGACCGCCUGGGGAGUACGGCCGCAAGGUUAAAACUCAAUGAAUUGACGGGGCCCGCACAAGCGGUGGAGCAUGUGGUUUAAUUCGAUGCAACGCGAAGAACCUUACCUGGUCUUGACAUCCACGGAAGUUUUCAGAGAUGAGAAUGUGCCUUCGGGAACCGUGAGACAGGUGCGCAUGGCUGUCGUCAGCUCGUGCUGUGAAAUGUUGGGUUGUCCCGCAACGAGCGCAACCCUUAUCCUUGUUGCCCAGCGGUCCGGCGGGAACUCAAAGGAGAUCGCCAGUGAUAACUGGAGGAAGGUGGGGAUGACGUCAGUCAUCAUGGCGCCUACGACCAGGGCUACAUACGUGCUGCAAUGGCGCUAAAAGAGAAGCGACCUCGCGAGCAAGCGGACCUCAUAAAGUGCGUCGUAGUCCGGAUUGGAGUCUGCAACCUGACCAAAGUCGAAUCGCACAGCAACGUGACCGUGGUCGAGACCACACGGUGAAUACAUUCCAGGCACCCACACCGGUCGCUGUCCCCGAGUGGGUUGCAAAAGAAGUAGGUAGCCAACCGGAGGCGCACCGCACAGCAAUUCACCAGCA
rnacentral:rRNA from 1 species